UAGUCCUGAGAUGAUAAAAUGUUUUUAAUAAAACAUUCCUUUAAAUUGACUUUUUAACAAACAUUUUGCAUGAUACAUUUUGAGGAUUUUUUGUCGAAAUGUUGUUAUCUUUUAUAAAUCAUUGGCACAAUAACAACAUUAUCAAAGCAACAUUCAUCAAAUGUUUUGUGGACAUUUACCUGAGAUGACAAAAUCUCAUAAUAUAUGUUAACAAAAGCUCAUAAAAUUGUAAGGAUAUUUUAAGGAAGCUGUUUAGGUAACAGAUUUUAGAAUUAUUUUAACCUAUAGAAUAAUGGCAUAAUUUUCCAUAAUGAAAGAGGAACAUUGUCAAAACAGCAUACAUAAAGUGUUUUGAGGAUAUAUUAGGCUACUCUGAAAUGAACUGUUGCGACAAAUGCGUUUACAAGAGAUGAGAAGCUGAUUGGAGGUCGCUGUAGAUCGACGUUUAAAACCACCAAUCACAGCGCGAUGUUCCCAUGACGUAAGAACAUUUGAACUCGACAAACAGCGCAAAUAAAGCAACGUUUCUGUUGAAGAAAUCGGCGCAGAAUGUCCGUUGUCUAAAUUGGCGACACAUUGGCCCAAAACAACAGAACUCCUGGUCAACGGAACUCUUUCACAACUACUCCAAACGGACUGUUUCAAGAUGAUUAACUUACCGAUGACACAAUAAAGUCUCCAUUUACAACCAAGAAUGGCAGUGAAUGGCCGUCUAUCAAGGCGCAUCCAUCCAUGAUAAAAGUAAUCCACCACAUGACUCUGGCGGGGUUAUAAAGCCCUUUUAAAGCGAAGCAUUUGUGCUAUGAGGAAAAACUCUACCGUGCACACAGAGAACAGAGCUCAAUGCUGCUAACUGGGGGAGCAGCUGGACAACUAGAAGAGAGAACAGUAGAACACUAUUAAUACAGAUUCCUGGAUUAUUCUUCUGCAAGAACCAAAACAAGCAAAGACUGAUGAUGAGUGCUCUGAGCAAACACCGGAGUCAAGACGCAUGAGUGACUUUACUGAGUUCUUCAUGUAAUGUUGGGCAUUUACUGUACGCAGAACUUCUAAUAAUUUAUGUGGAUGCCAUUUAAACCUGUUAGAUUUUGAUGUUUUAGUUUUGAGAUUAAUAAAAUGUUAUGCUUUAACAAUGUUAUAGCUAAUCAUUUUUGAGGGGUUUUAAGAGAACAUUUUGGGAACAAAAAUAAACUUCCGCUAAAAACUUUAUAAGAAAGUUAGGGGAUAAUGUUUU